rnacentral:lncRNA from 1 species
GUUCUGAAGAAGGAAGCGGAGAGGCGCGGGCGUUGCAGAGGGAGCCUCGAGCUGAGCUGGGCUGGGAGUCAUUAAAGGAGGCGGCUGUCCCCGGGGCCCCAGACGGCAUCUCAUCAAGAUGCCCUGGAACUCGCCCAGCUUUGCUUCAGAUGUUCCAAGCUCAUUUUGAGUCAAAGCCUUUUCAUCUGAGUUCAUUCUCCCUGCACACUUCAUCCUCCUGAAAUUGCACCAAGAAGCCACGAUCAGAUCACAUCACCACCGAUAAACCCUCCGCUGAGCGUUAUCGUUCCUCCAGGCAUCUGAAACGGUGCUAAUGUUCACGCUCCGAAUGUCAGCGGACUGUGUACCCUUCACUCUCAGUAGAUGCUGAGUUUUAUGCUCACCAUUACUCUCUGUUCACUGGCGCCGAUUCAUAUAGUGCAUCAAUUUUCUUUCAUUUUUGUUUCUCAACUCCUACGGCAAAGUUUAGCACCAUAAAAUAUGUGACAUGACUCGAUGAUGAAGCAGCAGCUUCCUGCUGAAACUUCAGAGCAAGAGACACUUUUUUUUUUUUUUUUUUUUUUUUUAAAGAAAGAAGGCCAUUGAGCUACCAGCUGUUCUCCUAAAAAAGAUGUGGCAGCAUUAUCCACGCAGAUAUUCUGCAGUUGUUUCCUGGCCAUAAUGAAAAGGGAUUUUAUUUGAUUUUUUUUUAGGCUCAACUGGAUGUGGUUUCCAGGAACUCAUCAGGAUAAGGAGACAUGUAUCUUUGCACUGGAUAAACUGAGUCUAAGUAUCGUACUUAUCCAUCGUCAAGGCCAACAUCUUUAUUUCUUGAUUCCAUAAAGAAAUAGAAAAUUGGCAUUUUUUAAAAAAAGGUUACAUAACGUUAAAAUGUACUUCAUUCUACUGUCAAAUACCGGUAGAUGCCACUUAAAAGAAGUGUUGCCCACAUAAAGCAAAGCAAAAAUUCACUUGAACUUUCUUUCUCCCCAUGCCCUACUUUUCAGCAAUAUUAUCCAAGAAGAAUUAUCAACAAUUUAGGUGGAGAAGUGUACAGGGACAGGUGUGAUGCUAGCCUGAGGUAUUACUCCCCAGUGACUUGAAUAGCAAAGAUAAGUAGAAUAUUUCUCUAGAGGGCACAUAGUAGGAAUGGCUAAUUUGCACAGAAAAGGGCAUCAUUCUGCGUUUGCAUCUGCAGUACAUGAAAUCUUAAGUUCCUAGUACCCGGUUUGUAAGCAUCUCACACACAUGGCAGUCUACCCAUUGAGGAGUCCCACUCUCCUUCAAACUCCUAUGCUGGAGCUUGGAAUAGAGGAAGGAUGGAGAAAUGAUUGCUGCGGCAGAUUUUUCUCUACUUCCUUCCCCCACAAGAUGUGAGCUACCAGGGUUUCAUGACAAAAAUUUUGAGACAAUUCAAACAAUGAGGGGUCAGGAUCAGAGGGAGACUGUGUAAAAGUCAUCCAGUAGAGAGGUCUGGGAACUGCCCUUGACUUACGCCUCUCGGCCCCUCCCCUACAUUCAGUCACCUAGGAAGUCUUAUGAUUUCAAUUUCCUAAAAAACCUCUCUCCAGUGACCCUCCCUCCAAUACCCCAUUGUCUCAAGGUGGCUCACUGGUUUCCCUGCCUUCUGGCUCCAUCUCCCCGUUCCAACCCUUCACUCCAGGCACUGGGAUGAUGGUUCUGAAAAACAAAGAUACACGUUUAUUUUAUGAAGUUCCUUAUAUAGCAAAGCUGAACCAUUGCUUUAUCUUCUGUAGAGAAUAAAGCUCCAUUCUUAGGCUGGCGUGGGAGAGUGAACCUUGUCCAACAGAGCAGGGCAACUGAUCUGGAAAUCAAAAUGGUGUUCAGGCACACGUUCAGUGGUGGUCCUGCUCCUUAAAACAGCAUCUUCACCUUUACUUUCAGAGGCGUUAUGUAAUCCGGAUCCACUUGGGGCUGGCUCUGUGGUCUAAAUUGAGUUGCCUUUCCCCUUUCCCUGUUACCAGCUUGAUUUGUUUUUCUCAGUCCUAGUAAGCUCAUCAUUUCUCCCUCUGCUUUUCAGCUGCCAAAAUAUUGUAGAUGUUGCCCCCUCUUUGAUUCUCUGUUCUUGCUGUGUAUGCCUUUUAAAGAAACCCUGGAUUGGGGAGGGUUUGAAAUUAGCAGACACAAACCACUUUAGGUAAAACAGAUAAAUAAGGUUCUAGUGUACAGCACCGGGAACUAUAUCCAAUAUCCUAUAAUAAACCAUGAUAGAAAAGUAAAAAAAAAAAAUAAAAGAAAAACCCUAUAAUGUUGUUUUAAUGGCCUUUUGAGAGAGAGAGAAAAUAUAUGUGUAUCUUCAAUGGCUAUCUUUACCUAGAAUCCACCUGUAAUUUUUUUUUUUUUACAUAAAUGCAAAAAACUAGUCACAGUCACCCAGAUCCACAGACACAUCAGGAGGGUAUUUGAGUGAGGAGGUGAAGGGGAUAUUUUCAAAAUUAAAAAAAAAAAAUGUUGAGUCACAGUGUUAUGCAAAAAUGAAAUUGCUAGAGAUCAUAUUGCAUUUUAAUAUGGAACUUUAGAGCAUGGCCCUAAAAAAGAUGAUCAAUUUUUAUGCUGCUGAAGUGGUAGAGCACGCUAAUAAAAAUAAAAAUAAAGUAUACUAAAGAGUCA